ACUUUAUGAUUAUAUAUAUUAAUA
rnacentral:snRNA from 1 species